rnacentral:rRNA from 1 species
AGAGUUUGAUUCUGGCUCAGAACGAACGCUGGCGGCAUGCCUAACACAUGCAAGUCGAACGAGACCUUCGGGUCUAGUGGCGCACGGGUGCGUAACGCGUGGGAAUCUGCCCUUAGGUUCGGAAUAACAGUUAGAAAUGACUGCUAAUACCGGAUGAUGACGUAAGUCCAAAGAUUUAUCGCCUAAGGAUGAGCCCGCGUAGGAUUAGCUUGUUGGUGAGGUAAAGGCUCACCAAGGCGACGAUCCUUAGCUGGUCUGAGAGGAUGAUCAGCCACACUGGGACUGAGACACGGCCCAUACUCCUACGGGAGGCAGCAGUGGGGAAUAUUGGACAAUGGGCGAAAGCCUGAUCCAGCAAUGCCGCGUGAGUGAUGAAGGCCUUAGGGUUGUAAAGCUCUUUUACCCGGGAAGAUAAUGACUGUACCGGGAGAAUAAGCCCCGGCUAACUCCGUGCCAGCAGCCGCGGUAAUUCCAGCUCUCAAGGUGUAUAUCGCCAUUGCUGCGGUUAAAAAGCUCGUAGUUGGAUCUGCGCCUUCGGACUCGGUCCUCCCAACGGGUGCGAACUGAGCUCCAAGGCUACUACUGCUGGUUUUCCCUUGAUGCUCUUCACUGGGUGUCUUGGGUGGCUAGCGAGUUUACUUUGAAAAAAUUAGAGUGCUCAAAACAGGCUAUUGCUUGAAUACCGGUGCAUGGAAUAAUAGAAUAGGAUCUCGGUCCUAUUCUGUUGGUUUUCGGAACUGAGAUAAUGGUUAAGAGGGACAGACGGGGGCAUUCGUAUCGCUGCGUGAGAGGUGAAAUUCUUGGACCGCAGCGAGACGCCCAACUGCGAAAGCAUUUGCCAAGAAUGUCUUCGUUAAUCAAGAACGAAAGUCAGAGGUUCGAAGGCGAUCAGAUACCGCCCUAGUUCUGACCGUAAACGAUGCCAACUAGCGAUCCGCCGGUGGUAAUUACGCCCCGGCGGGGAGCUUCCCGGAAACGAAAGUCUUCCGGUUCCGGGGGAAGUAUGGUUGCAAAGCUGAAACUUAAAGGAAUUGACGGAAGGGCACCACCAGGAGUGGAGCUUGCGGCUUAAUUUGACCCAACACGGGAAAACUCACCCGGCCCGGACACCGUAAGGAUUGACAGAUUGAGAGCUCUUUCUUGAUUCGGUGGUUGGUGGUGCAUGGCCGUUCUUAGUUGGUGGAGCGAUUUGUCUGGUUUAUUCCGAUAACGAACGAGACUCUGGCCUACUAACUAGUGACAGAAUUAUUGCUGUUCUGGUUACUUCUUAGAGGGACAAGUGGUGUUCAGCCACACGAAAUUGAGCAAUAACAGGUCUGUGAUGCCCUUAGAUGUCCGGGGCUGCACGCGUGCUACGCUGGAGGAGACAGCAUGCAAAACCAUUGCCGAGAGGCAUUGGUAAACCCGAGAAAAUCUUCCGUGAUCGGGAUCGGGAAUUGCAAUUAUUUCCCUUGAACGAGGAAUUCCCAGUAAGUGUGGGUCAUCAGCUCGCGCUGAUUACGUCCCUGCCCUUUGUACACACCGCCCGUCGCUGCCCGGGACUGAGCCGUUUCGAGAAAAGCGGGGACUGCUGCUGUUGGGGCUUUCGGGCCUUGGCUUCGGUGGAAACCGCUUUAAUCGCAGUGGCUUGAACCGGGCAAAAGUCGUAACAAGGUU